GAAGCGGGGCGUGCGCGGGCUCGAAGGGCUUUUCUAACGGUGUUCUCUUUUCUCUCCUCCCUGUGACGAUCCGCGCUUUGCAGAGUGCACAGAGGAAUGAGAGACUCUAGCAAAAAGAACAACAUUUUUGCUCAGUUCAGGAAGAACGAUCGCGACAAGCAGAAGUUGAUUGAGACAGUGGUGAAGCAACUCAGGAGCCUGGUGAAUGGCAUGUCCCAGCACACAUAGGCCCGCUGCUACAGAACUGAGCCUUACCACGCCAAGAGGUAUUUCAGAGCCACUCGUUCUGCCCAGCAGUGCUCUCAGUUGGGACAUUUGUUUGACUGGGUAAAAGAAAAGCGCAGCCCAUGGCAGAGAUAUGGGGCCCUCAGCAAAUGUUCUUUGUACGAAUUUUUAACGGAUCGAAAACUAUUUUCUAUAUUGUAAACAAAUGGUGAAAAAUGAGACUGUACAAUAAAACCAGCUCUAUCACAUUGAACAUGGGCAGCUGAACUGUAAAUACAUUAUUUAAGUGUCUGCAGACAAGAUGUUUGCAGUGUUGCUCUGGGCAGCAAUUAUCUGAGAAAUGAUCCCUUUAUUGCUGGUUUCAGGAUGAAUCCUAAUUUAAUGUGUUGAUUUUUUUUGUUUUGCUUUCUGUUUUCUUUUUUUUUUAAGUGCUGAGAUCCCCGCAUUCAGAUACCGCCUGUCACUUUCCUGCAUUAAAUGUAUAGUAGCCUUAAGGUGAUUGGACAUCAUUUUGUAUACCGAAUUUUGUAGUCUGGAGGUAUGAGAAAAUCUUCUGAUUUUUGGUACCUUUAAGAACUCCCCAAGCACUAGGCUUGGUAUUUAUUUAGCAUUAGGACUUCUAGGCUUUGUUCUCUGAAAGAGUUUAAUCUUGAGUUUCUGACUGUAAAUAACCAUUUGAGUUCUUUAUAAUGUGACUUUCUGGGUUCUGUUCCUCAGGGUGACCAUUUCUAACCGUACUUUUUAAGAUCCUGGGCUCUCCCCAGGGCACGGUGAGGAAAAGAUUUGCCACUGUUGGUUCUGUGCUGCCUCUUUUGGUCCGAACGCCCCAUCCCAGCAAGGAGUGCCCCAGGCCAGGCGCUGUGCACUGUCACCUCCUGGCAAUUUUAGACAUGAGGAGAAUGUCUAACAGAUAUAAACCAAAUGUAAAAAUAAUGUACAUUUCGCUGUAUUUUUAAGUUAUUGACCGUCUAAAUACAGUAAUAUAAACCUUA